rnacentral:rRNA from 1 species
UUCCGGUUGAUCCUGCCGGAGGCCAUUGCUAUCGGAGUCCGAUUUAGCCAUGCUAGUCGUGCGAGUUCACACUCGCGGCAAAUAGCUCAGUAACACGUGGCCAAACUACCCUACAGAGACGCACAACCUCGGGAAACUGAGGCUAAUUCGUCAUACCCCUCUCACGCUGGAAUGCCAAGAGGCACAAACGCUCCCGCGCUGUAGGAUGUGGCUGCGGCCGAUUAGGUAGACGGUGGGGUAACGGCCCACCGUGCCCAUAAUCGGUACGGGUUGUGAGAGCAAGAGCCCGGAGACGGAAUCUGAGACAAGAUUCCGGGCCCUACGGGGCGCAGCAGGCGCGAAACCUUUACACUGCACGCACGUGCGAUAAGGGGACUCCGAGUGCGAGGGCAUAUCGUCCUCGCUUUUGUGUACCGUAGGGCGGUACACGAACAAGAGCUGGGCAAGACCGGUGCCAGCCGCCGCGGUAAUACCGGCAGCUCAAGUGAUGGCCGAUCUUAUUGGGCCUAAAGCGUCCGUAGCUGGCCUCGAAAGUCCGUCGGGAAAUCCACGCGCCCAACGCGUGGGCGUCCGGCGGAAACUCCGAGGCUUGGGACCGGAAGGCUCGAGGGGUACGUCCGGGGUAGGAGUGAAAUCCCGUAAUCCCGGACGGACCACCGAUGGCGAAAGCACCUCGAGAAAACGGAUCCGACAGUGAGGGACGAAAGCUAGGGUCUCGAACCGGAUUAGAUACCCGGGUAGUCCUAGCCGUAAACGAUGUUCGCUAGGUGUGACACAGGCUACGCGCCUGUGUUGUGCCGUAGGGAAGCCGAGAAGCGAACCGCCUGGGAAGUACGUCUGCAAGGAUGAAACUUAAAGGAAUUGGCGGGGGAGCACUACAACCGGAGGAGCCUGCGGUUUAAUUGGAUUCAACGCCGG